UACGUAGGUGGCAAGCGUUGUCCGGAAUUAUUGGGCGUAAAGCGCGCGCAGGUGGCCUUUUAAGUCUGAUGUGAAAGCCCACGGCUCAACCGUGGAAGGUCAUUGGAAACUGAAAGGCUUGAGUACAGAAGAGGAAAGCGGAAUUCCACGUGUAGCGGUGAAAUGCGUAGAGAUGUGGAGGAACACCAGUGGCGAAGGCGGCUUUCUGGUCUGUAACUGACGCUGAGGCGCGAAAGCGUGGGGAGCAAACAGG
rnacentral:rRNA from 1 species